rnacentral:lncRNA from 1 species
CUUAUCUCUGUCAAAGAGAUAAAGCUGUCACUAUUUUGGCUCUGCAGUCCCAGUACCUGCCAGGCUGAGAAGUGGGAGGAAUGCCAAACCAUGGGCUCUGCAGCAGCCAAGAUGCGCUGAGAGAGCUGAUCCUUUCCUGUGAGCACUCCUUUGGAAAAGACAAAAUCCUUCCUCCAGUGUGCGGAGCCUGAAAGGAAUCUGGACCUCUGCAGAUAUGAAAAGUGAGGAGGAAAAUGACUAAUUAAUUCAGAUCUGGACCUCAGUGAAAGGAUGGAGUGUGAUGAAGGAGUCCUUUGGAACACAGGUUCAUUUAUACAGCUCUGGUCUGUGUGAGUCAGACAAGUGGGAGACUUACAGCAAAACAAGAUCUCCAGAAGUGGCCACCUUUCUUCUACUCAGCCAAGAUCUCACAACCCAGACAGAAAGUUGA